rnacentral:lncRNA from 1 species
AUGCUCUGCUUGGUUUCAAAGCCAGACUUUGAACAUAGUUUUUUUUUUUUUUUUUUCCUUCUCUCUUUUACAUUUUUGACUCAUGACAAGAGGCAAAGGAAGAACUUCAACAAUGAGAGCAGGAUGCUGGCUCUAAAGCAGGUGAAGGCUACCGGAAGAAGCCUUAAAAGGAUAAUUUAUCAACUAGAAAUCGCCAUAUACCUAAAGCCACCAGAGGGAACACUGCGCGUCUCCAAGACUCUAUCAGUGCCGGGCCCAUGCAGGAUGUUUCAGCACCGACACUGCAACACAUCCUGGAGGGCCUCUCUUUGUAUCCGGGGCGUCCCGAAAGGCCCAGGGGUCCAACGCUUGGUUCCCAGCUGGUGUUAUUGCAAGAUGGAGCUCGGGAGGUGGGGCUUGUGGGCGGAAGUGAGGUCAUGGGGCGUGACCUUGCAGGCACUAUCAGAACUUCGGUGUGAAACAAAAAUACAAUACAAAGUUUGUACAUGUUCACUCUGGGGGGCUAAGACAGGAGGAUCACAAGUUUGAGCCCAGCCUGAAUAACUUAGUGAAAUAGUUAGACCUUGUUUUAAAAUAAAAACUAGAAAUAAAAAAGGGCUGGGGAUGUAGUUCAGUGUGAAGAUCUUCCAUUCAAUCCCCAGUAUGAAAAGGGUGUUGAUUUAUGGCAUUCAGUGUGAGAUUUCAAUCCAUGGAAACAUUGUGCAGUGUUCAAAGUAGAUUAAAUCUGUUCAUGCAUUUAUCAUUUUUUGAUAAAAGCAUUCAAAAUCCUUUCUCC